rnacentral:ncRNA from 1 species
UAUAAUGCGUUGAGAGGAAGUAGUAAUUAUUUUUUCAACUUUAGCGAGCUGAUGGAUGGUGAAAAUCAGUGUGGAAAAAUAGUGAAUCCGUCCUUUGAGUGAUAUGUGGUAAAAAACAUGUCCGGUUUAAUCACCGUUAUCUGAAAUCAAGCUGGGGGAUUUUUUUAUCUCCAAUCAGGGUGGUAUCGCGGGAGUAGCUCUCGUCCCUAUA